UACGGAGGGGGCUAGCGUUGUUCGGAAUUACUGGGCGUAAAGCGCGCGUAGGCGGCUUUGUAAGUUAGAGGUGAAGGCCCGGAGCUCAACUUCGGAAUAGCCUUUGAGACUGCAUCGCUUGAAUCCGGGAGAGGUGAGUGGAAUUCCGAGUGUAGAGGUGAAAUUCGUAGAUAUUCGGAAGAACACCAGUGGCGAAGGCGGCUCACUGGACCGGUAUUGACGCUGAGGUGCGAAAGCGUGGGGAGCAAACAGG
rnacentral:rRNA from 1 species